UACGUAGGGAGCGAGCGUUAUCCGGAUUUAUUGGGUGUAAAGGGUUCGUAGGCGGCUUCUUAAGUCUGUAGUCUAAGCCCGGAGCUUAACUCCGGUUCGCUACAGAAACUGAGUUGCUUGAGUGUAGUAGAGGCAAGUGGAAUUUCUAGUGUAGCGGUUAAAUGCGUAGAUAUUAGAAGGAACACCAGUGGCGAAGGCGACUUGCUGGGCUAUUACUGACGCUGAGGAACGAAAGCGUGGGGAGCAAAUA
rnacentral:rRNA from 1 species